rnacentral:misc_RNA from 1 species
UCUCCGUAGGUGAACCUGCGGAGGGAUCAUUACCGAGUGAGGGUCCUUGUGGCCCGACCUCCAACCCCCUGUCUUCCGACUCUGUUGCCUCGGGGGCGACCCUGCCGUUCGCGGCGUGGGGCCCCCGGAGCCCAUCAAACCCUGCGUAACUAAGUCGUCGGAGUUUAAACAAAUUAAACAAAACUUUCAACAACGGAUCUCUUGGUUCGGGCAUCGAUGAAGAACGCAGC